rnacentral:rRNA from 1 species
UAAAGAAUUUCGGUUAUCGAUGGGGAUGCGUUCCAUUAGUUAGUUGGCGGGGUAACGGCCCACCAAGACGACGAUGGAUAGGGGUUCUGAGAGGAAGGUCCCCCACAUUGGAACUGAGACACGGUCCAAACUCCUACGGGAGGCAGCAGUGAGGAAUAUUGGUCAAUGGACGAGAGUCUGAACCAGCCAAGUAGCGUGAAGGAUGACUGCCCUAUGGGUUGUAAACUUCUUUUAUAUGGGAAUAAAACAGGGUAUGCAUACCCUCUUGUAUGUACCAUAUGAAUAAGGAUCGGCUAACUCCGUGCCAGCAGCCGCGGUAAUACGGAGGAUCCGAGCGUUAUCCGGAUUUAUUGGGUUUAAAGGGAGCGUAGGUGGAUUGUUAAGUCAGUUGUGAAAGUUUGCGGCUCAACCGUAAAAUUGCAGUUGAAACUGGCAGUCUUGAGUACAGUAGAGGUGGGCGGAAUUCGUGGUGUAGCGGUGAAGUGCUUAGAUAUCACGAAGAACUCCGAUUGCGAAGGCAGCUCACUAGACUGCAACUGACACUGAUGCUCGAAAGUGUGGGUAUCAAACAGGAUUAGAUACCCUGGUAGUCCACACAGUAAACGAUGAAUACUCGCUGUUUGCGAUAUACAGUAA